rnacentral:rRNA from 1 species
CUACGUGCCAGCAGCCGCGGUAAUACGUAGGUGGCAAGCGUUAUCCGGAUUUACUGGGUGUAAAGGGCGUGUAGGCGGGACUGCAAGUCAGAUGUGAAAACUAUGGGCUCAACCCAUAGCCUGCAUUUGAAACUGUAGUUCUUGAGUGCUGGAGAGGCAAUCGGAAUUCCGUGUGUAGCGGUGAAAUGCAUAGAUAUACGGAGGAACACCAGUGGCGAAGGCGGAUUGCUGGACAGUAACUGACGCUGAGGCGCGAAAGCGUGGGGAGCA